UCUCUUUGAAUGGGGCAAUUCCCACUCAGCUGGCUAUUUUCCCCAAAAUAGUAUAGGAGGGAUAUUUUUGACUGUCUUCCUUAUUAACUCAAAAAGUCCCUUCAGCCUCCUCCCUUAGGAAUUGAGUGAAAAGUUGGAUGUUGGAUGAAGAAUUUAUCUGAGAGGAAAUUUCUGGGGCUUGGGGAAUAUUCGACUGUGGAGUUCUGUUUCUGAGUUUCUCCGUGAACGCAGGAACAUCUUCACUGUUUUUUAGCGUAUGCUUUAUGCUUUCAAGUUUGGGGAACGUCCACGUCUUGGAUUUCAGCACAUAGUCACUUGUCAGUUGCCCACUUUGGUGAGAAGAUGAGUAGCAAUGAAUCAUCUCCUUCUUCUUUUUGGUGGAUAGCUGUAUAAUUUCUCCUGAAUUGGGCCUAUUGCUGAAAAGUCAGCUCACGUCCAUAUAUCAUCUCUCCUGUUUGGAAGCUGGACCAGAGAAGACAAUGGUUUCCCCUGUGCCAUCCAACUUCCCCACUCACCAUCUUGUUUCGGGGACCAUCCUGUGAAGGCACAGCAUAAACCUCGAAGAGGGAUGUUUCAAGCAUUAGUCAGGGAGCAAGGAUGACUCUGUGGCCCUUCAAGGUGUCUGUGAAACCAAGGCAAUGAGAAAGUAUGUGCGGGAGACAUCUGCAUGGGCACACCCCAAUAACCUGGAAAUAAGGGAAAUAUGAUUGCCUUCUGGCACUUAUACUGUGAAGUCAACACAAAAUGGGUCAUAGCAGAGUCCUGCAGAGCCGCCUUAAGGAAGUGGAAUGCCUUCCAGGUUUUGUCUGGGUGGCCAAAGGAACCAAGAGGAUUAUCUGUACUCUGAAAUCACACUUUUCCCAAAUAUCCCAUGGUAAGGACUUAUUCUGCAGUUACCUCCACUGUCUGCUGGCUUGUCUGUAAAAAGGAGGAGAAAUUGCAGAAAAGCAUGAACAGGUAAGAGCUCCACUCUCUAAACUACUCGUUAACGGAGAAGGAUUGGAAGGUAUGGGCUUGGUGUUUGGGCAAUGGGAGGUGCAGGUCACAUGACAGGGCUGGAGGCAAUGUGGCAUAAAGGUGGGAGCAUGGCCAGAAUAAGUGUGAGCAUCAAAUCUAAAACUAAAGAGCUGUGAGAGGCAGGGCCUGUGGCCUAGUGGUUAAGUUUGGCAG